rnacentral:piRNA from 1 species
UCCAUGUGUUGGGAUUGUCUGGU